GAUAAAUAUGGGAUGCAGUGUAUGGAACAUCAAUAAUCUAGUAUGAGAAAUUAACGAUUUAAGUCCUUCUUAAAUGAGGCCAUUUACCCAUAGAGGGUGCCAGGCCCGUAUAACGUUAAUGAUUAUUAGAAGAUGUUUCCAAAGAGUCGUGUUGCUUGAUAGUGCAGCACUAAGUGGGUGGUAAACUCCAUCUAAAACUAAAUAUAACCAUGAGACCGAUAGUAAACAAGUACCGUGAGGGAAAGUUGAAAAGAACUCUGAAUAGAGAGUUAAAUAGUACGUGAAACUGCUUAGAGGUUAAACCCGAUGAACCUGAAUAUCCAUUAUGGAAAAUUCAAUACUAAUAAAAUAGUGUGCAAUUUUUCCAUAUAAGGACAUUGUAAUCUGUUAAUGUAAUAAAUAUUUAUCAAAAGAUUCUUUACUUAAGUUUAUUUAAAUUCAACAUAAAAUAAAUGUAUUGAAUUAGAUAAAUCAUUGACAGAUAUAAUUAUAUAAUGUGCUUAAAUUCAUUUGAAUUUUACAAUAUUGUUUGCACUAUUAUGAUUAACAAUGCGAUAGAUUCAGGAUACCUUCGGGACCCGUCUUGAAACACGGACCAAGGAGUCUAACAUAUGUGCAAGUCAUUGGGUAUUUUUAAUAAAACCUAAUGGCAUAAUUAACUUAACUUAUGGGAUUAAUUUAUAUUUAUUCAAUCCCGGGGCGUUCUAUACAGUUAUGUAUAAUAAUAUUUAUAUUAUUUAUACCUCUAACUAGAGCGUACCUUGAGCAUAUAUGCUGUGACCCGAAAGAUGGUGAACUAUACUUGAUCAGGUUGAAGUCAGGGGAAACCCUGAUGGAAGACCGAAACAGUUCUGACGUGCAAAUCGAUUGUCAGAAUUGAGUAUA
rnacentral:rRNA from 1 species